rnacentral:rRNA from 1 species
GGGCGGCGUGCCUAAUACAUGCAAGUCGAGCGAAUUUCUUAAGAAGACUUGCUCUUAAGAAAAUUAGCGGCGGACGGGUGAGUAACACGUGGGUAACCUGCCCAUAAGACUGGGAUAACUCCGGGAAACCGGGGCUAAUACCGGAUAGCAUUUUGAACCGCAUGGUUCGAAAUUGAAAGGCGGCUUCGGCUGUCACUUAUGGAUGGACCCGCGUCGCAUUAGCUAGUUGGUGAGGUAACGGCUCACCAAGGCGACGAUGCCUAGCCNACCUGAGAGGGUGAUCGGCCACACUGGGACUGAGACACGGCCCAGACUCCUACGGGAGGCAGCAGUAGGGAAUCUUCCGCAAUGGACGAAAGUCUGACGGAGCAACGCCGCNUGAACGAUGAAGGCCUUCGGGUCGUAAAGUUCUGUUGUUAGGGAAGAACAAGUNCAAGUUGAAUAAGCUUGNACCUUGACGGUACCUAACCAGAAAGCCACGGCUAACUACGUGCCAGCAGCCGCGGUAAUACGUNGGUGGCAAGCGUUAUCCGGAAUUAUUGGGCGUAAAGCGCGCGCAGGUGGUUUCUUAAGUCUGAUGUGAAAGCCCACGGCUCAACCGUGGGAGGGUCAUUGGAAAAAUGGGAAACUU